rnacentral:ncRNA from 1 species
ACCGUUCGCGCCGAGCCCCGGUGCUCAUGGUCGGCUCGCCCGACGGCAAGAACCGUCGACGCAGACCCCGUCGCAGACGGCGUCCCGUCGGUCGGUGACGUGUUUCGAGCUACUUUCCGACCCAGUCUUGAAACACGGACCAAGGAGUAUAACGUGUGCGCGAGUCAACGGUGAUCUUACGAAAAACCACGUUUGGCGCAAUGAAAGUGAACCGUUUACGGUGCGGACGAUGGCCUAGCGACCGAACCCACCGGCGUUCAAAGUCGCGCUGGUCCGCAGUCCGGGGGCGUCUCCGCCAAGUCGGCUUCGGCCGGCUGGGGGCGCACCCUUAGCGCACACGUUGGUACCCGAAAGAUGGUGAACUAUGCCUGGCCAGGAUGAAGUCAGGGGAAACCCUGAUGGAGGUCCGCAGCGAUUCUGACGUGCAAAUCGAUCGUCUGAGCUGGGUAUAGGGGCGAAAGACUAAUCGAACCAUCUAGUAGCUGGUUCCAUCCGAAGUUUCCCUCAGGAUAGCUGGCGCCGAUGUGUCCCGCCCGUUCGCGGGCGUACGGACGCCGGUGGGACUCCGCGCUGUACGGCGCGGUAACAACACGCUCGUAACACGGAGGAUGUCUCAUACGGUAAAGCGAAUGAUUAGAGGACAUUGGGGCCGAAACGACCUCAACCUAUUCUCAAACUAUAAAUGAGUGAGAUCGCCGGCUUUACCUGGUACACCGCGUGAACCGCGUGCGAAGCCGGCGACGGAACCCUAGGCGCUUAGUGGGCCAUUUUUGGUAAGCAGAACUGGCGCUGCGGGAUGAACCGAACGCCGAGUUAAGGCGCCGAAAUCGACGUGUAUUCAGAGACCAUGAAAGGCGUUG